UCAUAGCUCCUGUUACACUUCACCCACAGAGGGAUCCAAAAUUAUCCCCUCCAACUAACUGAUAGGAGAGAAUGGGAGGGGGACAGUUAGCACACAGUGCUCACCUGAAACCAAAGAGGCCUCUUGGAGGCUGGAUCUGAUUCUUCCCGGCUACUACUUUACCCCACUGACAAAAGGAGAGUAGUAGCUUAGCCUGCAAAAUCCACCCUGACAACUAAAACCAAAACACACUAAGAGAAUGGAUACAUCUCUUGCUAUUUCUUUGUCAUUUAUUUGAGAGUGGCUGUUCUUCUAAAUGGUUUUAAACCACAUUAAACCACAGAUGCUAUGGCUGAUAUAUGAAGGUGCUGAGGUGUUGGGGCCCUGGAGGAACACAGAAGGUGCUAUUUCUGUUCAAGUUCAUGGCAGGUCAACAUCAUGGUAAGGGGCGUUAUGGGACGCCCCGAUUAUGAUGUAGGCCUAGUAUCCUAGGAUAACAUAAAUCCUUCAAUUACAUUGCGGACUAAACUCCACUCCAUGGUGAAGGAGUUCAUCAUUCAGUUAGUUCACCAUGGAGUGGAGUUCAGUCCGCUAUGUAAUUACAUAGCCGAACUAAAUUAUUCACGUGAUAUAGACAAUUAGACAUAGGGCAAAUGAUUCCGCUUGUAAACUGCUGAAGCUUUUCCAUAAUAAACUUUUUCAUUGAAUUAUCCAGGAGUAAUUCGUCCGUAGAAGCCCAAAUUCCCACGCAGACAGCCAUUAGUACUCACUACUCUCCGACAAGGGAGGGAGCAGUCACAUGCAUUGAGUGAAGUAGUUGAACAGCCACCCCAGUGAGUGUUGUAGUAGGGAAGUACUCGUUAGCGCACAUUGUCGUCAGCGGUCGGCGCACCAACUCCGCGAGCAUCCACUAGUCUCUGUUGCGUACGGGAUCUGGAAGACCGAGGAGGAGAGUUCAUUCCGCUACAGUCAUCCAUGGCUCUGUGCAACGGAGAAACCAAGAUGAUGAAUAAGGUUUUUGGAGGGACAGUACACAGGAAGAGUGUGAGAGAGGAUGGAGUGUUCAACAUCGGACUGGACAACACCUGCUCUCUCUUCAGGUGGGUUAAGAAGAACUAA
rnacentral:lncRNA from 13 species